rnacentral:rRNA from 1 species
GACAGAGGUGCCGAGCGUUAUGCGGAAUCACUGGGCUUAAAGCGUGUGUAGGCGGACGCCUCAGUACCUUGUGAAAUCCCCCGGCUCAACCGGGGAACGGCUGGGUAUACUGGGCGUCUUGAGAGACCUAGGGGCGAGCGGAACAAGCGGUGGAGCGGUGAAAUGCGUAGAUAUCGGGAGGAACACCAGUAGCGAAGGCGGCACUCUGGGCCGUGACUGACGCUGAGGAGCGAAAGCGUGGGUAGCAAACAGG